ensembl:lncRNA ZNF451-AS1 ZNF451 regulatory antisense RNA 1
GGGCCGACAGGGGCUCGGGCCUGGGGAGCGCAAGUCUCUGAGGCACGGGAGGGGCGGACGCAGAGACCGAGCGCCUAAUGUGGCUAGCGGAUCGUCUGCUCCCCGGACCCAGGAACUACCCGAAGCCCGCGCGGACCCACAGACCACCCCCAGCUCCGCCCCGCGAGGCCCCGCCUCUUCAUGCAACCUAAAAGUAACCAACUCCCCCCACGCGAAGGUUCCUAUCGGUCGACGGGCUGUGGGUGUAUUGCUCAGUGACGGCUUCGUUUAGUUUCUCCCAGCACCCAUAAUUCAAAGCAAGAACAACGACAUUAUGGGGAGAAAACGUCCUUUUGUGAAACAGAAGGCAAUCCACACCAUUAGUAAACCCCAUCAAUUUUGCCUUCAGAAUAUAUCCAGAUUCUUCCCAAUUCUACCGCCACCAUUCUGGUUCAAGCUACCUGGUAAAACAUGCACAGAGCAAAUUUCGGUUGUAUCCUAGAAAUGAUAGCCAUAUUGAGGAUACUGGUUACACCUGACGAAACAUCUCCAUGAAAGUUAAGCAUACACAGGAUCUCACUUUGUUACCCAGGCUAGAGUGCAAUGGUGUGACCACAGCUCACUGAAGCCUCAACCUCCUGAGCUCACUUUUAAGCAAUCCUCUCACUUCGGCCUCCUGAGUAGCUGGGCCUACAGGCAUGUACCAACACUCCCAGCAAGUUUUUCUUAUUUUUGUGAAGACAGAGUCUUGCAGUAUUGCCCAAGCUGGACUUGAACUCCUGGCCUCAAGCAAUCCUCCCAUCUAGGCCUCCCAAAGUGCUAGGAUUACAGGCAUGAGCCACUGUGCCAAGCAACACUUGCAGUUUUUAAGUGAAAAUGAUCCUGUAAAUAUAUAUAUGAAUAAAAUCUAGAAAGCUAUA